CCCUUUUCCCGACUCGAUUUUCAACAAAGCCAACGUGUGAAUAAAAUUGGUCAAGAUCAACUAACGCAGGCAGAGCUACAGAUCUUCAAUCAUGAUGGCUGGCUGUCUAUCGCACUCAGCAGAGAUUGUACGCAGGCUGAUUGUACGUCAAUCAAACAACUCACAGAGUGGCCAGCAAUCUAUGACAGCUCAUAUCACAUCCAAAGAUCAACUAACGCAGGCAGAGCGUCAGAUCUUCAAUCAUGAUGGCUUACAGAUCAACUAACGCAGGCAGAGCGUCAGAUCUUCAAUCAUGAUGGCUGGCUGUCCAGCACACUCUGCAGAGGUGUGUCAUUCAAUCAAUGUUGAAGCAUCGCAGCAAUCUAUGACGGCUCACAUCUUAAGAUCAAGUGAGCCAAGUCUGAUCGUCAAACUGAGCAGAGGAAAUGUCUUCAAGCUGUCGUUGUUGGAGCUCUGGAGACCGUCAAGCAAGCUGCCUUGACAACUCUGUCACCUUCCUGUGUACAGAUUGACUAACGCGGGCAGAGCGUCGUAUCUUCAGUCAUGAUGUCUGGCUGUCAAUUCGCACCCAGCAGAGAUGUGUCAAUCAAUCAAUGUUGAAGCAUCGCAGAGUGGCCAGCAAUCUAUGACAGCUCACAUCUAAAGAUCAACUAACGCAGACAGAGCUUCAGAUCUUCAAUCAUAAUGGCUGGCUGUCUAUCGCACCAGCAGAGAUGUAACAAUCUAUCAAUAUUGAAGCAUCGUAGAGUGGACAACUCAUAUCCAAAGAUCAACUAACGCAGGCAGAGCGUCAGAUCUUCAAUUAUGAUGGCUGGCUUUCCAUCGCACUCAGCAGAGGCGUGUCAAUCAAAGUUGAAGCAACGCAAAGUCGCCAAUAAUCUAUGACAGCUCACAUCUAAAGAUCAAAAUCCAGACAGAGAGUGUCGGAUCUCGCAAGGAGUCAGCGUUCAUCACUGGUAGGGAUGCACAACCUCUUUGGAUUAAAAUCAAGACAAUGAGUGUCGAACCGAUCAAUGCCUCAAUCAUUCUUAUUGAAGAUCAAAAUCCAGACAGAGAGUGUCGGAUCUCGCAAGGAGUCAGCGUUCAUCACUGGUAGGGAUGCACAACCUCUUUGGAUCAAAAUCAAGACUGAGUGUCGAACCGAUCAACGCCUUGAGCAAUCAAUCAACCUUUUUGAAGAUCAAAUUCCAGUCAGAGAAGGUCGGAUCUCGCAAGGAGUCAGCAUCCAUCACUGGUAGAGAUGCACCACCUUGUUGUAUACUUUGAAAUUAUUUGUAUAUUAUAAGGAUGUAAUAUAA